rnacentral:rRNA from 1 species
GGGCCCGCACAAGCGGUGGAGCAUGUGGUUUAAUUCGAUGCAACGCGAAAAACCUUACCUACUCUUGACAUACUUGGAAGCUCUUGUAAUGAGAGUGUGCCUUUUGGAACCAAGAUACAGGUGCUGCAUGGCUGUCGUCAGCUCGUGUCGUGAGAUGUUCCGUUAAGUCGGAUAACGAGCGCAACCCUUACCCUUAUUUGCCAGCGAUUCGGUCGGGAACUAUAAGGGGACUGCCGGUGAUAAACCGGAGGAAGGUGAGGACGACGUCAAGUCAUCAUGGCCCUUACGAGUAGGGCUACACACGUGCUACAAUGGGGAAUACAGACGGACGCUAAGCCGCGAGGUGGUGCUAAUCCUAAAAAAGUUUCUCGUAGUCCGGAUUGGAGUCUGCAACUCGACUCCAUGAAGUCGGAAUCGCUAGUAAUCG